CCGGUCUUGUGCUUGGAGUCGCCAUUUUGCCGCUAGAGAUGCUGUCUGAAGACCAGUGCUCUCUUCCUUCAGCGGCGUAGGCUGCGUCGGGGCCUGAGCUGGGGUCUGGGCCAGGGCAUGAAAGGUCUCAAAUGUUCUGACGUGGACCUGGAACGCAGCUCCCCAAGCAGCAGACAUGUAGUUCUUGAACAGACUGCCCGGACCAUGGUCUGAGGGCCCCCACUGCCCACUCCAAUCUUCCCUGGACCUUUGAAUGGAAUCACAGGAGGAGGCAGUGUAUGUGUAGCUUCCCAACAUCAAGUGUCACU